rnacentral:tRNA from 1 species
GGGGAUGUAGCUUAGCAGCAGAGCAUGUUCUUGACAUGUGCAAGGCCCUGGGUUCAAACCCCAGCACCA